rnacentral:rRNA from 1 species
GUAGGGAAUAUUGGGCAAUGGAGGCAACUCUGACCCAGCCAUGCCGCGUGCAGGAAGACGGUCCUCUGGAUUGUAAACUGCUUUUGAAUGGGAAGAAAAAGGCCAUGCGUGGCAAAUUGCCGGUACCAGAUGAAUAAGCACCGGCUAACUCCGUGCCAGCAGCCGCGGUAAUACGGAGGGUGCGAGCGUUGUCCGGAUUUAUUGGGUUUAAAGGGUGCGUAGGCGGCUUUAUAAGUCUGGGGUUAAAGGCGGCAGCUUAACUGUACGCAUGCCUUGGAAACUGUGAGGCUUGAGUGACUUGGAGGUAGCUGGAAUUCCCUGUGUAGCGGUGAAAUGCAUAGAUACGGGGAGGAACACCAAAGGCGAAGGCACUCUGCUGGGCCAAUACUAACACUGAGAGACGAAAGCGAGGGGAGCAAAUGGGAUUAGAAACCCGGGUAGUCC